AGGAUACUAUGAAACAAAUAAAGAUUUUACAAACGAAGUCUCAGUGAUGUGAUAAAUAAAACUUUGCAAUUGAGUUAUCAUUUAAAAGGCUCGCCUAAGGCGAGGAGGUAAAGUCAUUGUUACAAUUCUGUACUAUUUAUGACCUCUUUGAAACCUCUCUUGAAAGUGUGGUGAAGUACGACAUGAAUUUGGAGUUAUUUCAAGAACAUAGCAACAUGGAAAAUGCUAGAAAUAGGUUGGACUCACUAAUUCGUAGUCUUCAAGGCCCCUUUGUUAGACAUGGAGAUGUUGAUGGUUUCAAGCUGCACAACAUGAGAAGAAGAUAAGUUGAUGGCUUAGUUGCUUGAGGACAAGCUCAAAAUUUUUAGGGCCAUAUGCUUUCCACCUAUAUUGAUAAGGAGUUUCCCAAAUGAUCGGAUUAUCCCUGAAUUACACAUCGAUUAUUGUUCAGAACAAUGAAUCUCUAAGGUUAAUGUUUUGACUCUAAAAAAGGAAACUCAUGCUCUUAAAUCUUGCUAAGAUUCCUCUCACUCUUUUGCCUUCGCCAUUUCAAUUCUUGUAUAAACUGCACACUUCGUGUCUUGAUGAUCGUUCGUUAGAGAUGUAUCCAUUUUUGGCUAGUCUAAAAAGACUACAAGUUCUCCCAAAGUGAGUUUCAAAAUUCAUCGAUCGCCAAAACAUUGGGCAACUUAGCAGAGUCGAGGUUGUUUGGCUUGAGCUAAUGUUCACUACUUUAGAUGAUGGAACUGGGUGUGCUUCAAAGUUUGAGCAAAUUGGAGGAGUUGCAAAUGAUGGAUGCCUUUGGUAAGUCUUGGGUUAAUAAAGGAAAAUCGAGAAUGCUCUCUCUAUGUUGAUCAGACCCGACCCAACUGUUGUGACAAUUGCUCAAAUCCACAGGUAGACAAAUGUGUGGAAACAUUAUGCAAAACCAGCUUGCGUUUUGUCCCGCAUGGAUGGAAAGGCGAGGCGCUACAGACCAGCAGCCCCGUUGCACAGGUCAUAACAACACCUGAGAGAGUUCAUGUAACAUCCCAAACUUGACUCUAAAAACCAAAUUUGUAAUGCCCCCCACAGCAAAACUUCGCUUCUGACGUGCACUCUUCUUUUCCACGACCUCGAUCUCCUAUCUGCAAAUCUAAGCCAGCCUGCAAAGGCAGCGUUAACGCUCAGUCAGAAAAUCACCGACCGAGCAAGAGAUUCACCACCUAAUUCAGAGAAUCGGUUACAGUUACUAUUUGAUGAUGCUACACUAUAU